rnacentral:rRNA from 1 species
CCUACGGGCGGCAGCAGUGGGGAAUAUUGCACAAUGGGGGAAACCCUGAUGCAGCGACGCCGCGUGAGUGAAGAAGUAAUUCGGUAUGUAAAGCUCUAUCAGCAGGGAAGAAAAUGACGGUAUCUGAGGAAGAAGCACCGGCUAACUACGUGCCAGCAGCCGCGGUAAUACGUAGGGGGCAAGCGUUAUCCGGAUUUACUGGGUGUAAAGGGAGCGUAGACGGCAGAGCAAGUCUGGAGUGAAAGGCGGGGGCUUAACCCCCGGACUGCUCUGGAAACUGUACGGCUGGAGUGCAGGAGAGGUAAGUGGAAUUCCUAGUGUAGCGGUAAAAUGCGUAGAUAUUAGGAGGAACACCAGUGGCGAAGGCGGCUUACUGGACUGUAACUGACGUUGAGGCUCGAAAGCGUGGGGAGCAAACAGGAUUAGAUACCCCAGUAGUC